UAGGGAAUCUUCGCAAUGGGACGAAAGUCUGACCGAGCAACGCCGCGUGAGUGAAGAAGGUUUUCGGAUCGUAAAACUCUGUUGGUAGAGAAGAACGUUGGUGAGAGUGGAAAGCUCAUCAAGUGACGGUAACUACCCAGAAAGGGACGGCUAACUACGUGCCAG
rnacentral:rRNA from 1 species